rnacentral:rRNA from 1 species
GACGAACGCUGGCGGCGCGCCUAACACAUGCAAGUCGAACGAGCGAGAGAGAGCUUGCUUUCUCGAGCGAGUGGCGAACGGGUGAGUAACGCGUGAGGAACCUGCCUCAAAGAGGGGGACAACAGUUGGAAACGACUGCUAAUACCGCAUAAGCCCACGACCCGGCAUCGGGUAGAGGGAAAAGGAGCAAUCCGCUUUGAGAUGGCCUCGCGUCCGAUUAGCUAGUUGGUGAGGUAACGGCCCACCAAGGCAACGAUCGGUAGCCGGACUGAGAGGUUGAACGGCCACAUUGGGACUGAGACACGGCCCAGACUCCUACGGGAGGCAGCAGUGGGGAAUAUUGCACAAUGGGGGAAACCCUGAUGCAGCGACGCCGCGUGGAGGAAGAAGGUCUUCGGAUUGUAAACUCCUGUUGUUGAGGAAGAUA